UAUCGGAAUUCCUCUCACUUCCACUCUGGACUGACGCAGGCAGUGAGAACAGACGUCUCGCGCGCACCGUGUGCAGCCUUCCGUUGCCUCUGUUACUACUUCCGUUAUUUACGUGACAAGUCUCCGUGCUUUCCGCUUUAAUCCUCUUGCUUCCCGGUUGGUUUUCACGCCGCGCUGUCCGAGGUUCUGAAAGCCACGGGUCUCUCCCGUUCAUUAACACGCUGUUCGUCAGCGACGCACGCGCCUUUAAUGCGACACGGCGCGGAAGCAGACGGACGCGCGAGAGCCAGACCGAAAAGCCCUCCCCCCUCCCAUCACCACCCCUACGGCUACCUCCCACCGCGGCCGCUCAUGAGAGAAUAACGGGGAGAGGGGAUGAGGCUGUAAGAGGAGCUGAGCUGCUUGUGCACGACGAGCGUCGAGCGCGCGGUCUAAAGGAUGGCGCCGUGUCUGGCGCGCGCGCUGCUGCGCGUGCUGAGCUGCUUCAGCGUGUCGCGGGUUUUGGCCGACAGUUUAGCUCCUCCAGUAAACGUGUCUAUUCGGGAUCUAAAGGUCAACUCGGCUACAGUGACAUGGGACAUCCCAGGAGCAGAGCCAGUUAUUGGAUUUGCCAUCACACAGCAGAAGAAGAAUGUUCACAUGCUGCGCUUCAUCCAGGAAGUGAACACCACCACGCGGAGCUGUGCGCUGUGGGAUUUGGAGGCAGAGACGGAUUACAUCGUGCACGUGCAGUCCAUCAGCGCUCACGGGACGAGUCCUCCGAGCGAAACUCUGCGCUUCAGGACACCGAAGGAAGCCGAGAGGCAGACGUCUAAAAACGAAGUCACCAUGGAAGAAGUGGAGCAAGCCAGUCAGCUGAGGGCGGGGGAGCUCAUCAUCAUCGUGGUGGUGCUGGUCAUGUGGGCAGGUGUGAUCGCGCUGUUCUGCCGUCAGUACGACAUAAUCAAAGACAACGAGCCCAACAAUAACAAGGACAAAGCCAAGAAUUCCUCGGAGUGCAGUACCCCCGAGCACCCCACGGGGGGGCUGUUACGGAGCAAGGUGUAACCCCACCACCUCCACCUUCGCCUCUGCCUCUGCCCCAAGCUCAGAGGACGACAAGCAGCAGUUCCUCAACAACAACAACAACAGCAGCAGCAGCAACCAGACGCCAUCUGUGACCGUUAUCGAGGUGCGACAGAUUUCUUCAGAAAACAAGGACAAACGAUUGGAGUGUAAUAUCUGCUCACGCCGCACCAGCUGAGGCUCGGAUGAGCCACGUAUCCCGGCAGCUGCUUUCUGUCUGAAAAAAAGGACAGGAGACGAAGGGGACGAAAAGGAGGACGUGUAGAGCCGAGGGUGGGAACAGUGUUUUUUUUUCCUUCUACAUCUGAUCAGUAGAAGCAGCUGCUCUGUACAUCGUGGUUACAGCGACACGGUCGAGGAGUGACGUAAAGCUUGCAGGACCUCAAGCUCUCACCGUAGAGCGAGAUAUGAAAAUAAAGCUAGUGUGAUUCAAAACCACAGCACUGUACGUCACAGAUUUCUACUAUCCGAUGGUUUCUAUGGCAACUACUCAUUUAUUUAAAAGAAAAAGUGAUGAGGUUUUGUGUAAGGAGACGUUUCUUCUUUAGAGUCUCCAGUUUCAGCGUUGUUUUUUUUUUUUUUGUCUUAUUAACUUCAAGAGACGAUAAAUUCGCAAGCCGAGGCGAGGCAAGGGGACGACUGUUGUUAGCUGCUAUAACAGAAGCGAUACCAGGAGAUUUCCACCACAUUAAACACAACUCUGAAAGGAUAAAAACUACACUGCUUUAAUUAAAAAGAAAGUAAAAGCUGGUUAAUGUCUGUGGUCUAAAAAGUAAAAAUACAGUAAACCACUUCAAGAUGCCAUGUUUUUCAGGAGAAUAAUGAACUCUGUAAGUGGGAACAGUAACGUUAUUGAUUCACAGCGCGACAGAAUCCAAAUAUUUCUGUUAAAGCUCCAGAUUAGCGAGGAGAAACGGUUGCCUUGUCUAUAUCCAGUUAACGUGAGUUUCCACGAAAAAAAAACAAACAGACUGGACGAUGGAAGAAAAUUCGAUUUAUAUAACGUAUAUAAAACCGUGCAUGCGUUUCGAUUAUUACUUCAUCGCCAUGUUUCUGAAACGGUCGCUGGUUUCUCCUAUUUCAGAUCUAGGUUUCUAAGUCUCCUCUUUUUUUUAUUGUUUUCUUCUGAGAGUUUCGUAUUUUUAUUCGAAAGUGUGUGUAAACUCGUCAGUCAAAGGAUUCUGUGUACAAAAAUCCACGUACUGCUAAAUAGUUAGCUAGCCGAGAGAAACAAGAGCUCCUUGUUUUGCUAAAUAACUAGCUAGCAGUGACUGUAACAAGAGCCUCGUGUCUGGCUAAAUAUUUAACAGCAAAAAACAAUUCAUUUCAACUGAAAUAUAAACAGUUAUUUGGGUCAAGACAAGAAACAGGGAUUUGCUAGCACUUUAAUCACGCAACAUUAGCUAGCUUUUUUUUACUGACCAGAAGUCUAUUAAACAGUAAAACAUGUUAGCUAACAGCUUUAAUUACCUUACAAGUCAACCUAAUGUUAGCGAACGCUCUCACUUCCUGGACUUUUAACAGAAAAUAAAACCGAGAUCUGGUCACAGGGUUGCGUCUUGUCCCUCUGACCGAAUCCUUCUUCUUCGUGCGUUUGUUUUCCUUUUGAGAAUAUGAGGCGUGAAGAGGAGGCUUCAGCGAGGCUUCGUGAAGCGGAAGCUAAUUUUAUCAGAAGGAAAGAAGAACAUAAAACUGCGUUAUUUGGAUUAGAUACUCAAGGAUAAGACAACUAUAGCUACAUAGCUGCUACAUGAAUCUGUCCAGAAACGCUCCUGCGCUGAAGGACACGCCUCUCAAGGACGUCCACUCGGGUACCUCAUGGACGCCAGGCUCUCCUCCGGCGGAAACCUUCUUCUACAACAAGGGCUGAAAAGCGUUCACAUCAGCAAUAAUCCAAGACUCGCUAACGAGAACUUUCAUCACGGGGGAAUUCAUAAUCACUGACUUUCAGCAGGAUAAAAGUAAAACCUUCACAUUUUUUUAGGAUCGAUUGUAUUUGUUUUGUAUUUUUGGCCUCAGAGGAGGAAAAACAAAACAAAACAACAGAAGAUGAUUCAUUUGUUUUCUGCUUUUUUUCCCUCACUAAAGCCAGUUUAGGUGCAUUAAUCCACGUGAGUGGUGUAAACAAAAACAAAAAAACAUUCUUUGUAUUGCUAGUUGAAUGAUUUGAAAUAUUACUUUUUACGAUCGUCUCUCGAUGACAGAUUUUGUAUCACUCCACAUAGAACACGUGAAAGGACGGAACUGACCGCUUUUUGGGAUUUCCGGUGCAUCUCGAAGGCCAAAAUGAUGUCAUGCUCGAAUUAAACUGUUCUGAUUGCAAUGAAAGGUGUGUGUUACAUGUCUCUAACAGCAGCCCUGUGCUCUAGUGUUGAAAUACAGAGACACACACACACUGAGCACAAACACACAGAGUUAUCUCCAGUGUUUAAACACACACGCACACACACACAUACACAAACACUGAGCACAGAGAUACACAGAAUUAUCUCCAGUGUUUAAACACACACACAUACACACACACACACACACACACUGAGCACAGAGACACACGGAAUUAUAUCCAGUGUUUAAACACACACACACACAGAUACAGGUGUGUGUGUGUGUGUGUGUUAAAGAGAGUGUAUAAUGGUGUGUCACGACGCUGCAGUGAAAUCUGCACUCUGUGUUUUAUUAACAUGACAUGAGCCUCAAAAUAUCACACACACCAUCAACAAUGUUCCAGCAAUUUCUUUCUUUCUUUCUUUCUUUCUUUCUUUCUUUCUUUCUUUCUUUCUUUCUUUCUUUCAAAGAAAGGUGUCUGUUACGGAAUUCAGAAAAACUACCUGGUUUUUACCCUGAAAUAAUUAAUUAUUCAUUAAUUAUUUAAUGACCAUAUCAGACAUGUGGAUAUGUAAUUCUAGCUUUAUCCUGACGGCGGAUAUUUCAGGAAUAAAACACACUAUAAAGCAAAAGAAAUUAAUUACACGAGCUCAACAUGACAAAAUAAUUUCUACAUUUUUUCAUAAUGUUCUUGCUUAUUAUUAUUAUUAUUAUUAUUAUUAUUAUUAUUAUUAUUAUUAUUAUUAUUAUUAUUAUUAUACUGUUUUUCAAAAUAAAACAACAGAGCUAAAUGAAUUUGUAAUUCAUUUAGUCUAUA